GGAAUAUUGGUCAAUGGGCGGGAGCCUGAACCAGCCAAGUAGCGUGCAGGAUGACUGCCCUAUGGGUUGUAAACUGCUUUUAUACGGGAAUAAAGUUCGCUAUGUAUAGUGUUUUGUAUGUACCGUAUGAAUAAGGACCGGCUAAUUCCGUGCCAGCAGCCGCGGUAAUACGGAAGGUCCGGGCGUUAUCCGGAUUUAUUGGGUUUAAAGGGAGCGCAGGCUGAUGAUUAAGCGUGACGUGAAAUGUAGCCGCUCAACGGCUGAACUGCGUCGCGAACUGGUUAUCUUGAGUCAGUUCGAUGUUGGCGGAAUUCGUGGUGUAGCGGUGAAAUGCUUAGAUAUCACGAAGAACUCCGAUAGCGAAGGCAGCCAACAAGGCCUUUACUGACGCUAAAGCUCGAAGGUGCGGGUAUCGAACA
rnacentral:rRNA from 1 species